UGACUGUAUAACACCUGACAGAAUCAAUUAUAACUGACUGUUGUUUGAUACCUUUGCACGGAAAUAAAUGAAACAGACAUUCAGAACAGAGACGGCUGCUGCCUGUGUGCCUAAGCCUGCCUUAAUUAAAAUAAAAUAACCAGCAGGCGAUGUUAAAAUGUCUUUGCCUUGUGGUUCGUAGUGCAGUGUGUUUCUUUAAGUCCAAAAAGGCUUUUACAAAGAGUAAAGCUGAAAAGAGAUUUUUAGUUUACUGAUACAGAAAUAAAAUAUCUGAAAGAGAGAUGGUUUCCUUAGAUGGGAGAAUACUCC
rnacentral:lncRNA from 1 species